rnacentral:rRNA from 1 species
CUUAGUGGCGGACGGGUGAGUAACGCGUGAGUAACCUGCCUUUCAGAGGGGGAUAACGUUCUGAAAAGAACGCUAAUACCGCAUAACGUCGCAAGACCAAAGAGGGGGACCUUCGGGCCUCUUGCCAUCGGAUGUGCCCAGAUGGGAUUAGCUAGUAGGUGAGGUAACGGCUCACCUAGGCGACGAUCCCUAGCUGGUCUGAGAGGAUGACCAGCCACACUGGAACUGAGACACGGUCCAGACUCCUACGGGAGGCAGCAUG